rnacentral:tRNA from 1 species
GUGACCGUGGCCGAGUGUCUGAGGCGUUGGAUGGUGGCACCAACUACGAGAGUUCAAUUCUCUCCGGUCACCCCA